CUAAUUUUUAUUUUGAAGAAAAGUUAUUUCAAACUUUCCGUACUUUAAAUUAUUCAAGUUGUCAAAUUAUCCAUCAUUUACAUUUUUACUCCAAUUAACUAAAUCUGCCCAAAAGUAUGGAUAAACUCAAUAUGGACCAAUUAAGGUCAAAAUGAUGAUGUUGAGAGUAACUUGUAUCAUUCCAUUUUAACUAGUAUUUUAAGUACCCAAGAAACCAGAGUAAAUCCAAAUUGAAGUCAACCUAGUAUGUAACAUUUCUGCAUCCAUAUUAACAUUGAUUUAAUAAGAAAUUAAAGCUCAGUUUUAAUCAACAUGUUGAUCUAGAUUUUUUAACAUAGCUAACGCAGAAAGAUUACAGUUAAUUGGAAGAACAGCUGCAAGACACGUUAUUCUCAUUAAGAACUGUCAUUGAUAAAAAAAAAAAAAAAGAACCAUAAUUCCAUGAACAAAUUUCCAGUAUGUGAACCUGAAAUAUAAAUAUGGAAAAUUAAUUGAAAACA
rnacentral:lncRNA from 1 species